CAUGCAUAUUUAUUCGGGACACGGUUGGAUCCACAAGAUCUAAAACCUGGCUGGGCUUCAGCGCCCAGUUUUCUUGAGGGUUCCCUUGCCCACCGGUACCUGUCGUGGUCCUCCAGUCGGCAGGAGGCGCAGCAUCUUGGCGGCCUUACCUAACCGGAAGGUCUGGGACUCGUGAGAGCCGAGAGGAGGUGCCUUCCGUGUUUUUUGGCUCUGGGCAGAUGGCGGGCGCCCGGGCUCUGAGCGAGCUGCAGGCGGUGGACACCGAGCUCACUGCAGAUUCGGUGGAGUGGUGCCCGCUGGAGGGUUGCCGGCACUUGCUGGCCUGCGGUACCUACCAGCUGCACGCGCCUGAAGACCAGGCUGCACUGGAUGGCAGUGAACCUCAAGUUCGUUUGGGUCGGCUCUACCUGUACCGUUUCAAUGAAGACAACGCUGUUAACCCUUUGGUUGAGGUACAGAGAAGGGAUACUUCUGCCAUCUUGGACAUGAAAUGGUGCCACAUCCCAGUGGCUGGCCAUGCUCUUUUAGGCUUGGCAAAUGCUAAUGGAUCUGUACAGGUAUUCUGGCUGAUGGAAUCUGAGGUCAGUGGUGGGCCCAUCUCAGGGGGGAGUGCUGAUGAGGGGGC
rnacentral:lncRNA from 1 species